rnacentral:rRNA from 1 species
CCUACGGGAGGCAGCAGUGGGGAAUAUUGCACAAUGGGCGCAAGCCUGAUGCAGCGACGCCGCGUGAGGGAUGACGGCCUUCGGGUUGUAAACCUCUUUCAGUAGGGAAGAAGCGAAAGUGACGGUACCUGCAGAAGAAGCGCCGGCUAACUACGUGCCAGCAGCCGCGGUAAUACGUAGGGCGCAAGCGUUAUCCGGAAUUAUUGGGCGUAAAGAGCUCGUAGGCGGUUUGCCGCGUCUGCCGUGAAAGUCCGGGGCUCAACUCCGGAUCUGCGGUGGGUACGGGCAGACUAGAGUGAUGUAGGGGAGACUGGAAUUCCUGGUGUAGCGGUGAAAUGCGCAGAUAUCAGGAGGAACACCGAUGGCGAAGGCAGGUCUCUGGGCAUUAACUGACGCUGAGGAGCGAAAGCAUGGGGAGCGAACAGGAUUAGAUACCCUGGUAGUCCAUGCCGUAAACGUUGGGCACUAGGUGUGGGGGACAUUCCACGUUUUCCGCGCCGUAGCUAACGCAUUAAGUGCCCCGCCUGGGGAGGUACGGCCGCGAGACGUAAACUACAAGAAGUAGACGGCGNGAGACGUGCCGACGGACGACGACGAGGGAGGUAGG